rnacentral:lncRNA from 1 species
AUGGUUUAAAGUGUAUCAAUUUAGUAUUAUGUGAUUUCGCACUUUCUCACUUUAGUACCCUGUGGUUUAAAGUGUAUUAAGUUAGUAUUCUGUGGUUUUACUUUUCUUUUUUUAUUAUCCAUUUCACUUUUUUUUUUCGUUAAAGCAGUGACAAAGUUAAAAUUUAAAGGUACUAAAGUGAAUAUUCGAAAAACCUAGGUAGCGUAUCUAAAGCUUUUUGUAUAUAAUUUAACGAAAUAUUAACGGAGAAAAAAAAUCAGUGACAAAGUUAAAACUGAAGGGGACUAAAGUAAUAUUCGAUAAACCUAGAUAGGGUAUCUAAAGUUUUUUGUAUAUAAUUUAACGAAAUAUUAACGGAGAAAAAAAAUCAGUGACAAAGUUAAAACUGAAGGGGACUAAAGUAAUAUUCGAUAAACCUAGAUAGGGUAUCUAAAGUUUUUUAUAUAUAAUUUAACGAAAUAUUAAUAGAGGAGCCGACGAAAAGAGAAAAAUGAAACAAUAUGAUACUAAAUUGAUGCACUUUAAACCAUAUGGUACUAAAGUGAGAAAGUGAGAAACACAGGGUAUAAAAUUAAUACACUUUAAACUACGGGUUAUUAAAGUGAAAAAGUGCGAAACCACAACGGUGGUAUGUGAAGUUUUCCUAUAUAUUAA